GGUUAAGCGACUAAGCGUACACGGUGGAUGCCCUGGCAGUCAGAGGCGAUGAAGGACGUGCUAAUCUGCGAAAAGCGUCGGUAAGGUGAUAUGAACCGUUAUAACCGGCGAUGUCCGAAUGGGGAAACCCAGUGUGAUUCGUCACACUAUCGUUAACUGAAUACAUAGGUUAACGAGGCGAACCGGGGGAACUGAAACAUCUAAGUACCCCGAGGAAAAGAAAUCAACCGAGAUUCCCCCAGUAGCGGCGAGCGAACGGGGAGCAGCCCAGAGUCUGAAUCAGCUUGUGUGUUAGUGGAACGGUCUGGAAAGUCCGACGGUACAGGGUGAUAGUCCCGUACACCAAAAUGCACAGGCUGUGAACUCGAAGAGUAGGGCGGGACACGUGGUAUCCUGUCUGAAUAUGGGGGGACCAUCCUCCAAGGCUAAAUACUCCUGACUGACCGAUAGUGAACCAGUACCGUGAGGGAAAGGCGAAAAGAACCCCGGCGAGGGGAGUGAAAAAGAACCUGAAACCGUGUACGUACAAGCAGUGGGAGCACCUUCGGGUGUGACUGCGUACCUUUUGUAUAAUGGGUCAGCGACUUAUAUUCUGUAGCAAGGUUAACCGUAUAGGGGAGCCGCAGGGAAACCGAGUCUUAACUGGGCGUUAAGUUGCAGGGUAUAGACCCGAAACCCGGUGAUCUAGCCAUGGGCAGGUUGAAGGUUGGGUAACACUAACUGGAGGACCGAACCGACUAAUGUUGAAAAAUUAGCGGAUGACUUGUGGCUGGGGGUGAAAGGCCAAUCAAACCGGGAGAUAGCUGGUUCUCCCCGAAAGCUAUUUAGGUAGCGCCUCGUGAAUUCAUCUUCGGGGGUAGAGCACUGUUUCGGCUAGGGGGUCAUCCCGACUUACCAACCCGAUGCAAACUACGAAUACCGAAGAAUGUUAUCACGGGAGACACACGGCGGGUGCUAACGUCCGUCGUGAAGAGGGAAACAACCCAGACCGCCAGCUAAGGUCCCAAAGUCAUGGUUAAGUGGGAAACGAUGUGGGAAGGCACAGACAGCCAGGAUGUUGGCUUAGAAGCAGCCAUCAUUUAAAGAAAGCGUAAUAGCUCACUGGUCGAGUCGGCCUGCGCGGAAGAUGUAACGGGGCUAAACCAUGCACCGAAGCUGCGGCAGCGACACUAUGUGUUGUUGGGUAGGGGAGCGUUCUGUAAGCCUGCGAAGGUGUGCUGUGAGGCAUGCUGGAGGUAUCAGAAGUGCGAAUGCUGACAUAAGUAACGAUAAAGCGGGUGAAAAGCCCGCUCGCCGGAAGACCAAGGGUUCCUGUCCAACGUUAAUCGGGGCAGGGUGAGUCGACCCCUAAGGCGAGGCCGAAAGGCGUAGUCGAUGGGAAACAGGUUAAUAUUCCUGUACUUGGUGUUACUGCGAAGGGGGGACGGAGAAGGCUAUGUUAGCCGGGCGACGGUUGUCCCGGUUUAAGCAUGUAGGCUGGUUGUCCAGGCAAAUCCGGAUAAUCAAGGCUGAGGUGUGAUGACGAGGCACUACGGUGCUGAAGUAACAAAUGCCCUGCUUCCAGGAAAAGCCUCUAAGCAUCAGGUAACAUUAAAUCGUACCCCAAACCGACACAGGUGGUCAGGUAGAGAAUACCAAGGCGCUUGAGAGAACUCGGGUGAAGGAACUAGGCAAAAUGGUGCCGUAACUUCGGGAGAAGGCACGCUGGUGUGUAGGUGAAGUCCCUGCGGAUGGAGCUGAGACCAGUCGAAGAUACCAGCUGGCUGCAACUGUUUAUUAAAAACACAGCACUGUGCAAACACGAAAGUGGACGUAUACGGUGUGACGCCUGCCCGGUGCCGGAAGGUUAAUUGAUGGGGUUAUCCGUAAGGAGAAGCUCUUGAUCGAAGCCCCGGUAAACGGCGGCCGUAACUAUAACGGUCCUAAGGUAGCGAAAUUCCUUGUCGGGUAAGUUCCGACCUGCACGAAUGGCGUAAUGAUGGCCAGGCUGUCUCCACCCGAGACUCAGUGAAAUUGAACUCGCUGUGAAGAUGCAGUGUACCCGCGGCAAGACGGAAAGACCCCGUGAACCUUUACUAUAGCUUGACACUGAACAUUGAGCCUUGAUGUGUAGGAUAGGUGGGAGGCUUUGAAGCGUGGACGCCAGUCUGCGUGGAGCCAACCUUGAAAUACCACCCUUUAAUGUUUGAUGUUCUAACGUUGGCCCCUGACCGGGGUUGCGGACAGUGUCUGGUGGGUAGUUUGACUGGGGCGGUCUCCUCCCAAAGCGUAACGGAGGAGCACGAAGGUUAGCUAAUCCUGGUCGGACAUCAGGAGGUUAGUGCAAUGGCAUAAGCUAGCUUGACUGCGAGCGUGACGGCGCGAGCAGGUGCGAAAGCAGGUCAUAGUGAUCCGGUGGUUCUGAAUGGAAGGGCCAUCGCUCAACGGAUAAAAGGUACUCCGGGGAUAACAGGCUGAUACCGCCCAAGAGUUCAUAUCGACGGCGGUGUUUGGCACCUCGAUGUCGGCUCAUCACAUCCUGGGGCUGAAGUAGGUCCCAAGGGUAUGGCUGUUCGCCAUUUAAAGUGGUACGCGAGCUGGGUUUAGAACGUCGUGAGACAGUUCGGUCCCUAUCUGCCGUGGGCGCUGGAGAAUUGAGGGGGGCUGCUCCUAGUACGAGAGGACCGGAGUGGACGCAUCACUGGUGUUCGGGUUGUCAUGCCAAUGGCACUGCCCGGUAGCUAAAUGCGGAAGAGAUAAGUGCUGAAAGCAUCUAAGCACGAAACUUGCCCCGAGAUGAGUUCUCCCUGAGACUUUAAGUCUCCUGAAGGAACGUUAAAGACGAUGACGUUGAUAGGCCGGGUGUGUAAGCGCAGCGAUGCGUUGAGCUAACCGGUACUAAUGAACCGUGAGGCUUAACCUU
rnacentral:rRNA from 1 species